UGAAAUCGUAUUAAUUUUUCAAUAAAAUUCAUUUUAAAAAUUGUAAAACUUAUAAAAACUGCAUCAACCAGGUACUCAACUGCUCUUCUAAUAAUCACGGACUGCAAUUUUAAACAAUGAAGUACUGUAUUAAACCCAUAAAACUGGCAAACAUUAGAAAAUCAGAUAAGGUCAAAUGAAAGCCAGCAUGUGGCAAAAGGGCAAAACUCACACUUCUGAUGGAAUGUAAACUGGUAUAGCUAAUUUGAAAGAAAUAUUGCAGUAUACAGUAGAGUUGUAAAUGUAUUUAUGCUAUUAAUGAUUGCAGAACCAGUUUUCAAUUUUCCAUUAUCCUAGUAAUUGGUGCUAUUUUAAAGUAGUGGCAGACAUUUUGUACAUAUAUUUUGUGUAAAUAUUGAUACUUCAGACUUCACAGCUUAGCUCAACCCUCCCUUAACUCCUUCUCUCCUUCCCGUUUCCCUCCUCAUUCUGCUCCCUGAGAGCCUCCUCAUAAACGUGCCAGUCACUUGACCAUUCCUGGACACUCUUUACCUCUUAACAGCUCCCUUUCUCUUUCCCAUCCAAACUCCCCACCCCAUGCCUACCUAGUCCCUCCAAAAAACAGGGCUGAGCAGGGAUCAGAAGUGCCCUGAAGAAGACUCUUCUCUUCUCUGGGAUGGGAACAGUCCGACAGUGGGCACAGUGUGGAGGGAGAGGCCGCAGUAUCAAGUAAACACACAAGGAAGGUAUCAAAGCCCUUACAGGGCCGCCCCCAAGAGAAGCAGCAAUUCCAAGGGCCUUCUGGCUGGAGGACCAACAACAUGUGAGCAAUCACAUGAUUUAACUGUUGCAAGGUGUGAAGCUGACUGAUGCACUGGUUCAUGAGUUUAUGACUCAAGGCUGAAGGAGGCAAAACCCAGCAAUGCCAAGGGUGAAUCAACACCUGGGGGUAAUCAGUUAACUGGCCCACUGGGGAACCAGAACCCUGUUUGAAGUAGACUGCAGGGAGCCCACAGGAGGGGAGGAAAGCCAGGUCAACAGGAGGGACUAUGCGGCUGCUUGAGAGAGUAGGGAGCCUUCAAGAAGGAAGAUCUUGGACUAUGAGUUACCCAAGGGCAUGCCCAUAUUUAUUCCAAUGCGUAUGAUGUGCUGCUUGCAUUGACUGCCUCUCAGAUGCAGCCAGAUGCUAUGUCUCCCAGGAAGCCUGGACAUCAUUCUCUCUCUCCCCUGUGGCCAACUACCAACCAUUUCCUUACGGUAGUCUAUCUUGUGUUACAACUUGUGUAUGUGUCUCAUCACUCCUAUUAUUUUGUAAAUCUCUUUAAGGCAAGACCUACAUCUAAUAGAUUUUGAAUUCCACACAAUACCUAGGACAGAACCUGGCCUAUGCUACGUG